UUGGGGUUUAGAUUUCACCUACUAUACUCUCAUGCAUAUAAGAAUUUGUCUUCUUCAUUUGAAUGUUAAUGUCACUUUCUAAAUUACUUAGAACUCAAUGUCUCGGCGUAAAAAGCCUAUCCUUAAUUAUUAGACCACAAUCCCUUGCAUCCCUAAUAAUCAAUUCUACAUUACGAAUAGAAGCUUAAGACAACUAAACGUACUAUCCCU
rnacentral:lncRNA from 1 species